rnacentral:rRNA from 1 species
UGCCAGCCGCCGCGGUAAUACGGAGGGUGCGAGCGUUGUUCGGAAUUAUUGGGCGUUAAGAGCACGUAGGCGGUCUGUUAAGUCUGGUGUGAGAGCCCGGGGCUCAUCCCCGGAAGUGCAUUGGAUACUGGCAGACUUGAGUAUGGGAGAGGAAGGCGGAAUUCCGAGUGUAGGAGUGAAAUCCGUAGAUAUUCGGAGGAACACCAGUGGCGAAGGCGGCCUUCUGGACCAAUACUGACGCUGAGACGCGAAAGCGUGGGGAGCAAACAGGAUUAGAUA